ACUCAAGAGCAAGGCCGUUGCUAAGAUACCAAGCCCUAGCUGCAGCUUUUGGUUGGAGACCACGGUUGGGAGGAGAAUGCAAGGACAGCUGGGGGGUAACUGGUGGAAUACAAGCCUGGUGUCCUCUGAGGGAGGCAGGGCUUUUUCUUCUAGAUAAAGAGGUGCCGAAUCUUGUUGACACCCUUCCUAGAGCCAUCCUAAUGCAUAAUGGAGGCUGCAUCCAAACACAACUUUAUUCCAUAUCCCCAAACGUUUCCAUAUCCAUAGAUUUUAAUGUUUUAUUUCAGAUUUCACUCAAUGCAACAACGACUUCUGGAAAUCGAGUCACAUAUAAGGGAAGUUUAAUGCUGAUCUCCAUGUUAAUUGCUUCCAGGAAAAUCUCAAUUGCAACUUCCUAACCUGGAAUAUCGCAGGAGUUUUCCACGCUGUAACUUUCCCAUGGUUUUCAUGGGUGAUACAAUGUGAUGAAAUUUGGGGUGGUAUUCUGGCGUACAGUUGUUUUCCCACAGUUUUCAUGAGGGAACAGAAACAUGCACACCUAUAAAGUCCAUGUCCAAUGACACACCAUUGGUGUGAAUGAAAUUUAGCGCAACAUAGCAUUAUAUGUAUCAAAAGCCACAGUUCCUUAAAACAACAGGCAAUGUAGUGUAAAAGGAAAGAAGCGCUAGCGUUACAACCAGGAAAAUGAAUGCAAGACUCCCAAUGCCUGAAAAAUGCACCUGUAGUGGAGAAGACAUUGGACUUAGGCUGGUAUCACAUCUGCAUCAUACAUUUAAAGCACUAUUAUACCACUUAAACAGUCAUUUCCUCAAAGAAUUCUGGGCGCUGUAGUUUGUUGGCUGGGAAUUGCUAGGAACCCCCUAAUCCCCUCACAGAGUUACAAUUUCCAAGGUUCCCUGGGAAGAGGAAUUGACUCAAACCAUGCUAAGGAGCAUAUGGCUAGUUCACCUCCUCUCAAAAUUAUCAUCUGGAAUAUUCGAAAAGGAAUGAAGUAUUAACGACCGGGAGUGGAGCAACAUGCAGUCAUUCUACCUUCCUCCGUAGCAUCUAAUACCAAUCAUCUGCAGGGACCACAAGGAUCACAAUCGCAUAUCAAUAAUGUGAUUCGUUAUGUACGGGGGUCUAUAAAUGCCUUCAUCAGGGUGGAGAAAGCAGAAAAAUAAAAAAAGAAAUUCUCUCAACACUAAUUCAUGGAAACUGAGGCGGUUCUGCCUCAAGGCAUCUAGAUGAUGUGUCCGUCUCAAGUGGCAAAUUUUGGGUCGCUGUUCGGAGUCACAGAGAGGGAGACAAACGUUGACUCACAGGACGUUAUCCACCACUUCCCAUACUGAAAUGAAUGGGAAUGACACAUAAGCUUUU